GUAAAACGAAAAUGGCAGUUGAUGCUGCACAACCCAUUUCAACCCCAGCAAGAAGAUCAACAACUCCGAAAAUCACUUCUACACAACAGGCACAAUCUUCAACAUCUAAAUCGGGUCCAUCAAACAGCAGCAAUCGGGUCAGUUACACCUCCAACUCCGGUUCCGGGUCAGGGUCCGAAUACCGCCUUGACACCUCCGUCGCAACCACCUCCGUCUCCAGCCAGGCAUCGCUCACUAGUUUCCGAGCAUCGUUGCCGGAUAAUCCUCAAGUUUAUGAUUUCUCUGAUAUUCGUGCCGCCACCAACAACUUCCUUGCCAAGCGCUACUCAUCCACCUCUUCAUCCCAAUCGUGGCGAUGCACGCUCCAUGGCAAAGAUGUAAUUAUCUUCCAACGAAGAAUCUACCAGAAAUCUAUGGAAAAAGCUGAAUUGAGGGCGAAAUUAUCAGUUAUUUGUAGAAGUCAUUAUAAAAGUAUAAUUAAACUCCUCGGUGCAUCAAUUUCUGGCGAGCAUAUUUACUUAGUGUACGAUUUUGUACUGGGUUCUAACCUUUCUCUCUGCCUCCGGAACCCUAGAAAUCCAAGCUAUACGGUUCUCUCCACUUGGAUGUCACGAAUUCAAAUCGCUACUGAUGUUGCUCACGGUCUGGAUUAUAUACACAACACUACCGGUUUAGAGAUCGAUCCAGUUCACAAAUAUGUAAAGAGCAGUGGAAUCAUCGUCACCGAGCCUUCCUUUAACGCAAAAAUUUGCCAUUUCGGAGCAGCGGAGCUUUGCAGUGGAAGCGAGAGCAAAGCCGUGACGAAUGGCGGUGAGAUCUACGAGGGUGCAUCAGCAGUUUCAACGCCGGGGCGAAAGGGAUCCGCGACUAAGACUCGCGAGUUUGAAGGCGUGAGAGGUUACAUAUCGCCGGAGUACCAACUGACAGGAGUAGCAACACAGAAGUCCGACGUGUACGCAUUUGGAGUUGUGCUGUUGGAAUUGUUCUCCGGCGAAGAACCUGUGAGGUUCAAGUACGACAAGGCAACCGGAAACUACAGUAAAAUCUCCCUUAUAGAUACGGCGAGGGAAGUAGUUGACUGCGGCGGCGAUGGGGAGGAAGACGGCGGCG
rnacentral:misc_RNA from 1 species